rnacentral:pre_miRNA from 1 species
UCUUGUGGAUGAAAAAAGAAAGUGGUUUCUUGAGAUGGGAUUUACUCCCGGUAAAGAUGCUAUGAA